rnacentral:rRNA from 1 species
AUUGAACGCUGGCGGCAUGCUUUACACAUGCAAGUCGAACGGUAACAGGUUAAGCUGACGAGUGGCGAACGGGUGAGUAAUGCAUCGGAACGUGCCCGAUCGUGGGGGAUAACGCAGCGAAAGCUGCGCUAAUACCGCAUACGAUCUGAGGAUGAAAGCGGUGGACCGGAAGGCCUCGCGCGAUCGGAGCGGCCGAGGUCAGAAUAGGUAGUUGGUGUGGUAAAGGCUCACCAAGCCAAAGUUCUGUAGCUGGUCUGAGAGGACGACCAGCCACACUGGGACUGAGGCACGGCCUAGACUCCUACGGGAGUCAGCAGUGGGGAAUUUUGGACAAUGGGCGAAAGCCUGAUCCAGCAAUGCCGCGUGCAGGAAGAAGGCCUUCGGGUUGUAAACUGCUUUUGUACGGAGCGAAAAGGCCCUCUCUAAUACAGUGGGCUCAUGACGGUACCGUAAGAAUAAGCACCGGCUAACUACGUGCCAGCCGCCGCCGUAA